GAAAUGCGAUACGUAAUGUGAAUUGCAGAAUUCAGUGAAUCAUCGAAUCUUUGAACGCAUAUUGCGCUCUUUGGUAUUCCGAAGAGCAUGCUUGUUUGAGUAUCAGUAAACACCUCAAAGCUUUCAAUUUUUUUUUGAAAGGUUUGGACUUGAGCAAUCCCAACACCAGUCUGUUUUUUUUUCAGACCAGUGGCGGGUUGCUUGAAAUGCAGGUGCAGCUGGACAUUCUCCUGAGCUAUAAGCAUAUUUAUUUAGUCCCGUCAAACGGAUUAUUACUUUUGCUGCAGCUAACAUAAAGGGAGUUUGACCAUUUUGGCUGACUGAUGCAGGAUUUAACAAGAGGGGCUGGCAACAGUCUUUUUUUUGUAAAACUCGAUCUCAAAUCAAGUAAGACUACCCG
rnacentral:misc_RNA from 1 species